rnacentral:tRNA from 1 species
CGCGGAGUAGAGCAGUGGCAGCUCGUCAGGCUCAUAACCUGAAGGUCGGUGGUUCGAAUCCACCCUCCGCAACCA